CGGGGUGUAGCGUAGCCCGGUUAUCGCGCCUGCUUUGGGAGCAGGAGGUCGGAGGUUCGAAUCCUCUCACCCCGA
rnacentral:tRNA from 2 species